rnacentral:misc_RNA from 1 species
GAAAACAUGAAGCUCUUUUUUAAUUUGAAGAGGAUGAGAUUGUUUUACACUGAAGAGGAUAUUAUUUUCAUUUGUAUUUUCACCUCCAUGAGCCUUCCAUUUAUGCCAAAAUGUAAGUGCCUUUCCACACAGUGUGAGAAUAGGAAUGCCUGCAGGAUCGCGCAAAAUUCUUUUCAUCUUCAAAUUCCAGACUCCACCAUCUACUUGGAGGAGAAGAUUUCCAGUCUGAUCAAAAACUUCAAAUUGUGCA